UGGGGAAUCUUGGACAAUGGGCGCAAGCCUGAUCCAGCCAUGCCGCGUGAGUGAUGAAGGCCCUAGGGUCGUAAAGCUCUUUCAACUGUGAGGAUAAUGACGGUAGCAGUAGAAGAAACCCCGGCUAACACCGUGCCAGCAGCCGCGGAAAUAGGGAGGGGGUUAGCGUUGUACGGAAUUACUGGGCGUAAAGCGCGCGUAGGCGGAUUGGAAAGUUGGGGGUGAAAUCCCAGGGCUCAACCCUGGAACUGCCUCCAAAACUAUCAGUCUAGAGUUCGAGAGAGGUGAGUGGAACUCCGAGUGUAGAGGUGAAAUUCGUAGAUAUUCGGAAGAACACCAGUGGCGAAGGCGGCUCACUGGCUCGAUACUGACGCUGAGGUGCGAAAGUGUGGGGAGCAAACAGGAUUAGAUACCCGUGUAGUCC
rnacentral:rRNA from 1 species